CAGUCGCCACGGUAAUACGUAGGUGGCAAGCGUUGUCCGGAAUUAUUGAGCGUAAAGGGCUCGCAGGCGGUUUCUUAAGUCUGAUGUGAAAGCCCCCGGCUCAACCGGGGAGGGUCAUUGGAAACUGGGAAACUUGAGUGCAGAAGAGGAGAGUGGAAUUCCACGUGUAGCGGUGAAAUGCGUAGAGAUGUGGAGGAACACCAGUGGCGAAUGCGACUCUCUGGUCUGUAACUGACGCUGAGGGGCGAAAGCGUGGGGAGCGAACAGGAUUAGAUACCCCCGUAGUCCCUGUCUCUUAUAC
rnacentral:rRNA from 1 species